rnacentral:sRNA from 1 species
AUGUCUGUGGUACCUCUUUAGGUAUUCCUUCGAACAAGAUGCAAGAAAAGACAAAAUGACAGCCCUUCUACGAGUGAUUAGCCUAGUCGUGAUUAGCGUGGUGGUGAUUAUUAUCCCACCGUGCGGGGCUGCACUUGGACGAGGAAAGGCUUAAAAAUCAAGCCUUAACGAACUAAGACCCCCGCACCGCAAGGUCCGGGGGUUUUUUUAUGGCCUUAAAAUAUCAGUGAGCGGCAGAAGCUUAAUAUCAGCAUAAAAUUCUGUUUCUCCGG